CAACACCAGCCCUCUCCCUUAACUCCGACGACCGCACUGGAUCCACGGCCGCCACCCUCAACUCUCAUCCACUCUCAACUGACCUACACAGCCAAAACUCCACAAAACAAACACGCUCAAGGCUCGACUUUAAAGCAACACAGUUCAAGACUCUUCCUUUUUCUUUUCUUUUAAAAGUUAUGCUGCUAAAAUUAUAUAUACACAGAUACAUGAACAUGAAGUUUGUAAAUGUCAUUUGUUACAAAAUUUGGAAUACAAAAACUGAAUUGCUGCGUGGAGAGAUGGCGACUGGGAGUUGUUUAUACAUGAAAAAAAAAUUGGGAUUCUUAAUCAAAAAGUGAAGUAAAGUAGCAGGGGAGUUAAAGGUGGAACCUUUAGAGAUUUACUCAAAUCUGUGACGGUCGGCUGCUUGAAUUUAUUGGGCUGCUUGUUCUUGAAGCUCAGUCUGAGGUGUUGGAACGAGAGAGAGGAAGCGAGUGAAUUGAGAGAAAAUAAUUUGGCUAUUGUAUAAGUGAACUUGCGGAGGAGUUACAUUUGAGGAGAGAGAACAUAGUAAGGCGGCUGGUAGGGGUGAGUGAAAAUGUCAGGAAAAUAUCUUAGGAUUAAAAUAUCAGGACUGUAAUAUUCGCCAGGCUUCGUCAGGCUUUGCUAAAUAAAAAGCUCGUAUAAAUGCUUGAAUGCUUAAUUAAAUAAAUAUGCAAUGCAUAUAAAUUUAAUAACUAAAUUACAAAUACUCCUUUUUGUAAAUCAUCUUUGUUGGAAUUAAAACAAAUAAUCUUUUUAUACCUUUCGUCGUGUUUCCCUGGAUAUUUCUGCAAGUUUGCUUCUCGGUCUGCUUACAGGGCUGCUUCUCGCUCUGUGUUUCCUUGGUUUAUUUAGUUGUACUUAUGAAAAUUUCCAAGCAUGGGAAUUAGUAAAAAUCGAAAACCUCAACAGGCAGGGUUUCAAUUUAAUAAGCAUGUUUAUCUUGCAUAAUUUUUUCCAUGGAAAGUCUCAUCCUUAGAGUCUAAUUGAGGUAAAAGUUAUGCGGGUUCUAUGUCCGAUGAUUUCUGGUUUCAGCACCCUGAUUUUGUAAAAUCGAUUAAAAAUAGCAAACCUUUUUAGAAAGACUUGAAAAUUUUCAGAGAUAUUCUAGACGCUUUGAAUAACACAUAUGAAAAUUUUCAGAAUUUUAUCGCCAUUCCAACCGAUUUUAUAGCAUUAAAACAUAGAUCAGAACAGGGGCGAUUUUGACCGCCUUGCUCAGUGAAUUUGUAAAAUGAUUUAAAAUAUCAAAUAUUUUUAGAAAAGCCUGAAAAUCUGCAGAGAUGUUCUCGACGCCUUGAAAUAGACGUCUGAAAUUUUUCAAAAUUUUAUUGGCGGCGCAGCCAAUUUUAUAGCAUUAAAACCGUAGAUCCAUAACAGGGAACUGUCUACUGCACAGUUUCAUGGACAUGAUUAAAUUUGUAAUGCCUGAAUUAAGACGAUUUAGCUGGACUUCAGAUUCCUUUUAUAACUGCUACUUACCAUUUCAAUAUUGCUUUUAUUGACCGAACAGAUUACACAAAAUUCACAUGGAAUAUUUUCAAACUUUGCACAGCUUUGAAGUUUGUCAUCUGUUUAGCAGAAUUUAUUCUAAUUGCAUAUGCCAUGUUCACCAGAGUAAAUAAAUAGAGACUGAUCAUCGAAUACUUAGCUUUGAAUUCAGAGUCCCCACGGAGUAGAAUGAAACACAUCAAACGUCUAGCUCGGGUUUCGACUUCCCACAGAGGGCGCCAGUUGUUGCGUCCAAAAAUAACAGUUAUAAUGGAACAUAACUACGUCCACAGGGUUUUUGGGGUGUUUUUCACUAUCUUUCGGGGAGAUUACAUCGUACAUAGUUGAUCGUUCGGGAUUGAUCGGUCUCGAUCAUGCUCGUAUAAUAAAAAUACAUGCCUCUAUUUAUAGGCAAAAUACUAAGAAUUCUACUAGGAAAAGGACUCUAUUUACACUUAUAAUAACACUAUAAUUCUUCAUAUUUAUCAUCUUUUCCAUGAUAAUUUUCUUCUUUAUCUAGAUCUUGAUAAUCUUCAAAAUAGCUCCAAAUACCGAAAAAUCAGAGCUGCUAGACCGUGAACAGCGCUGUUAUCAUUGGAUUGGCCUCAAUCUCCCGGUCUUCAAGGGAUGCAUAUCUUUGUCCUCAUCAGGGAGUGAUACUAGUUUUAGGAAGAAAAAAAAGUUGUUGAGUGUAUUAAGAUUGGAGAAAAGAUUGUUGGGUAUAUUGGAGUGAUGAACAUGCAUUUUAAUUAGGGUAAAGUACCAAAUACCCCCCCGACGUUGGCGUCCCUAUCGCGUAUAGCCCCCCAUAGUCAGGGUCAGCGCUGUUUACUACCCUAACGUGGCAAAAUCGUAGCAAUUAACCCCCCGCCACUUAACGGACGUUAACACCGUUAGAUUAAAUAAUUUUUUAUUUUUAAUUAAGGUGGGCUAGCACUUUUUCCUCUCUGAGUUGCCUGAGUUCAAUUUUCCGACGAAGCUGCCACCAUCUCCUUCAAUAAUGUGUCGGCUCUUUCAACCUCAACCUCAACAAUUCUGCCGCCCAGUGGCCGUCACCUCCAUCACCGAAAAUUCUGUCGCCGGAUGCUGAUGGUCGGCGCCUCGACCGCCGAGAACAACAACCUCGUGGUAGCCCUCUUCAAAAACUCCAAUUCUCUUUCCCUGCAACUUCCAUGGCCAACAAUCUGCACUCUCCAACUCCCUCCCCUGCAACUUUCCCAGCCAACAAUUUGCACCUUUCCAACCUCUGCAAAAGUCACUAUCCCAAAACUCACUAGAUCUGCACCAUCCAAACCAUCCCCCACCACUUCUCCAAACUCAACACAAACAACAAGAAUGAGAUUGAAAUAACGGUUCAAACAUGGAGUAGUGAAUUUGAGCAAAAUUCAAUCUUCACAAUUCACAAAAAUACAGAAAACCCUCUAAACUUUAUCUUUCCAUUUUCAAUUCCGCACCAUUUUUCACUGAGCCGCCGACAGCAACCGUCGCCGCAGCGCCGCUUCCAUUUUUUACUGGGAGAGAUUGAGGAGUAGAGAGAGGCGGAGGUGGAGGAGAUGUCGCCGCCCAUAUCGCCGCCGCCUGAAACCCCUUUCCGUCUCGAGCCCUAAUUUUUGGAGNAGUCACCUCCAUCGCCGAAAAUUCUGUCGCCGGAUGCUGAUGGUCGGCGCCUCGACCGCCGAGAACAACAACCUCGUGUAGCCCUCUUCAAAAACUCCAACUCUCUUCCCUGCAACUUCCAUGGCCAACAAUCUGCACUCUCCAACUCCCUCCCCUGCAACUUUCCCAGCCAACAAUUUGCACCUUUCCAACCUCUGCAAAAGUCACUAUCCCAAAACUCACUAGAUCUGCACCAUCCAAACCAUCCCCCACCACUUCUCCAAACUCAACACAAACAACAAGAAUGAGAUUGAAAUAACGGUUCAAACAUGGAGUAGUGAAUUUGAGCAAAAUUCAAUCUUCACAAUUCACAAAAAUACAGAAAACCCUCUAAACUUUAUCUUUCCAUUUUCAAUUCCGCACCAUUUUUCACUGAGCCGCCGACAGCAACCGUCGCCGCAGCGCCGCUUCCAUUUUUUUACUGGGAGAGAUUGAGGAGUAGAGAGAGGCGGAGGUGGAGGAGAUGUCGCCGCCCAUAUCGCCGCCGCCUGAAACCCCUUUCCGUCUCGAGCCCUAAUUUUUGGAGCUGGGCGAAUCAGUGGAUGAAAGUGGAGGGUGGAGGCGAGCGAACCGGUUGAGGAAAUGAGAGGGCGGAGGCGGUGGGUGGAAGUGGGGAGGGCGGAGGGCGGUGGUGGUGGAGCCGUGAGGUUGGUGGUGGUGGAGGGACGAGGGAUAGGAGAGGAGAAGUAGAGAGAGAUUAAAAAUAAAAAAAAAUAUUUAAUCUAACGGUGUUAACGUCCGUUAAGUGGCGGGGGGUUAAUUGCUACGAUUUUGCCACGUUAGGGUAGUAAACAGCGCUGACCCUGACUAUGGGGGGCUAUACGCGAUAGGGACGCCAACGUCGGGGGGUAUUUGGUACUUUACCCUUUUAAUUAUAUUAAAAAAAUAGGAAGCUUUCCCAAAAAUAUAGUAGUAAUUAUGGUAGAAGUAAUAUAGUAGUAAUUAAAAUAUUAAAAAAAUCAGCCAAAAAAUAUAAGUGCCCGGCCAAAAAUGCAGUUGACCGAAUGACGCAAUUAGGAAGCCGCUAACCCUGAAUAUUAAAUACGAAUAAAAUAUAAAAUAUAAAAAAUAAUUUCUAAAAAAGAAAAAGAUAUGGACAAAAUCUAUCUAUCUAUAUAUAUGUGUGUAUGUGUGUGUGGAUGAGUUAUACGGAUGCUAUCUUCAAAACCUUAUUCACAAUUUUUCGUAGCUACGGCGUUUCCAGAAGCAAAAGCAAUUCGACACAAUUACUUCUAAUUAAUUUCAAACCAGAAGCAAUAAAACAUAAAUCAGCUGAAAAUUGAAUUCGGAAACCAGUUACAAUUUGGGAAAAAAAAUUGAACUUAGAUCUGAAAUUAUGGCUCACACAAAUGGGGCUCUUUGCAAAUUGGAGUUGAGAUGUUGGGGACAGUUGGAGAAGAAUCGUGUGUAAUGACGCUGAACUGAGCGACGGGCUUGCGGCCGUGAUCGAAUGCCGGCAGAGGCGUGCUAAGCUUGCGACGAGGGGCGAUGCCACAACAACUAUGAAAGAGAGAGAUAGAUACCGAUAGUGAAUGUGGUGUGAACAUCGUGAACUCUACCUAUCAAUGGCGGUGAGAGAAAUGGAAGAACCGCGCGGCCUGAACAAUGAGAAAGAGCACGUUAUAUUUGAAAAUCCAAUUUUGCUACGGAUAUUCUGUAACUAGUAAGUCACAAGGAUUUUGCUACGAAUUGAAUACGGAUUAAAUUUCAGUUUAGCUACGACUUUAGCUACAGUUAUUCUGUAGCUAACGAUUUUUAAUAAAAUUAGUACUUUUUAUUAUUAUUCUAAUGAUGGAUUAUACCCGUAGCGAAAGUUUUUCAAUGAAAAUCCAUCAUGAAAUUCGUUGUUAAAUUUAAUAAAAUGUAUCCAUCAUAAAUUCGUUGUAAUUCCGUCAUAGAAUAGCUACGGACAGGGCCGGUCCUGAGAAAAAUGAGGCUCUGGGCGAAAUUAUAAAAAUGGGCCCUCAAUAUAUUGAAAAAUAAAAUUUUCCAUUACUUAUAAAAAAUGACUUUAUCUAGCAGUUUUAGUUGCAUGUUAUCUAAAAUCUCUUAAUCUCUUUUUCUAUACAUAACUAGUAUUACUUCCGUGCGAUGCACGGUAAAAAAAUUUAUAUUUUUUAGAAUAUUAUAUUUAGAAAAUAAAAUUCUAUAAGUUACUUAUAUUAUUAUAUAAAAUAGCUCUAAUAAAGAUAAUAGCAUUAAAAUGAAGAUAAAACCAUCUUAUAAUUGGAGGAUAUAAAAUGAAUGAUCAAGAUCUUGACAAAACCUUUUUAACUAACGAUUAUUAUUAUCUAUUUAAAAAAUUUCCACCCAAAUAUCUAGAUAUUUUUCUUUCAAAUUUUCUAUUAGUUUUGAAAGGAUUUUUGGAACUUUUAAUUACUUUUUACUUAUUUGCAUUUCAUAAUAUAUAUUUUUUUGAGGCGUUAAUUGACUGUAAAUUCACAAACUAUUAGUUAAUUUUGCUAUUUUUUUCAACUAUAUAAAGUUACAAUAUAAAUACAUAAACUUUAGCUCAUUCUGAAAUUUGCCCUAAAUUUUAAUUUCGUUCAUACAUGACAAAAUUAAAGAUGAUAUAAUAUAUACACAUUAUAUUAAAAUAACUUAUACAAAAUUUCUACUGAAAUAUACACAGUACUAAUAGCAUAUAUAUAUAUAUAUAUAUAUAUAUUAGUAAUGAAUAUAUAGUUUAAUUUUAAAAAUUUCAUUUUUGAUAAAAUUAACAAAUACAACCUAGCAAAGAUGAAAUUUAAAAUUUGUCAUGAUCAAGAAUCAUGACAUUUUAAAAUUUGUUUAUUUUAUUCUAUUUUUUUAUAUUUUUACUAUAUAGUAUUAUGUUUAUAUUUAAAUUUUUUAUUAUAACAAUUUCAUGCAGUUACUAAGAUUAAACUUAUAUUUUUUCAUUUUAGAACUCUUUAGCUUAAAAAUAUAAUUUGUAGAUAAAUAUUUAUAUAUAUAUAUAACUUCAAAAUAUAAUUUCUAAUAUGAUUUACAUUUAUUAAAUUUUUAGUUAUGUUUUGUUAUUAUUAUUAUUAUUAUUAUUAUUAUUAUUAUUAUUAUUAUUAUUAUUAUUAUUAUUAUUAUUAUUAUCUAGAGUAGAUUGAUAAAAAAAUUAGAAAGAAAAAAUUAUUUUUAAAAAUAAGUAAGGUGAUUUUUUGGCAGGAAAACAUAAUUUACUAUUUUUGAAAGUGAUUGAGCUUUUAUAUAUGUAUAUAGAUAUUGUCAAAUCAUUUAAUCUCUCUAGGGACAUUGACGAUCUCAAAUACGUUUUCAACAUUUUUAAAUUUGAGAAGCUCCUUUUACAACAGUAAGUCAGUGACUGACAUUGUCAGCAUAAUUUUAUAUUUCGAUUUGAACUUUGAAGUUUUAAUAUAAUAUAAAUUUGAUAAUAAGUUAUAUUGCCUAAUACUCCCUCCGUCCGCCAAAAGUAUUCCAUAAUUACUAUAUUUGGCGUCCGUAAAAAGUAUUCCACUUUCCUUUUUAAGCCAUGGUCCCACCAUCCACCUUUAUAUUUUAUCCUUACAAACACUCUUUAUUUACAAAAAAACCCACCCGAAAUUCAAUCUCAACCACACAUCUCAUAAAGUGGUGGGACCCUUUCUCCACUACAUUAACAUCAUCACACAUUUUAUUAAACUCCGUGCCUUGCCAAAGUGGAAUACUUUUGGCGGACGGAGGGAGUAUUUUUUAGUAUAUAUAAAUCUAUAUUUUAUAUAUGAGAUAGGGAGAGGUUCAAAUAAGAACCACUAAUAAUGUCAGAUCGUUGAAUCUUUUUAGGGCAUUCGAUCCUCAAAUACGUUUUGUAUCAUUUUUGGAUUUAGAGGUGCUGGUUUACAACAGUAAGUCAGUGACUGAUUUUUUCGGAUGCAUUAAAUUUAAUUACGGAUGCAUUAAUUUGUAUAGCAUAUGCAGUAAUUUUAUUGGUUCUUAUGUUCUCACGAUUUUUGUGGUUUAUAUAAAGUCUAUAAUUAAUGAGAUAUAUUUAAAAUUUUGGGCCCUCAAAAUUAUGUUACAGAAUUAUCAUCAAAUUGAUUUUAAAUUGAACUUUGAAUUUUUGACAAUAAAUUAUAUUAUCUAAUAUUUUUUAGUAUACAUAAAGCUUAUAAUUAAUGGGAUAUAUUAAAAAAUUGGGCCCUCAAUUUUUUGGGGCCCUGGGCCGUCGCCCAUGCCCGCCCGCCCUCAGGGCCGGCCCUGACUAAGAAAACGUUUAAGUCUUGGGCGGUUUCAAUUAAGUAGUGCAUGAGCAAUAUAUAUUUAUAUGGCGUUGUGAUUGUGCAGUGACGAUUGUACCAUCAAGAUAUGGGAAGCGAAUUUCGAUACGGCGCCUCCACCACGUUGGUGAGUAGCAAUUCGACGUGUCUUUGUUAGAUCUUUUCUUUUCUUGUUCUCUGAAUGAAAGAAUGAAAGAUAUAUGAAGUUUAGAAUUUACAUUGGGUGUAGUAAAGUUUGUUUGGCUUGUCUUUGAUGUCUCAAAUACUUUGGAAAUGUCUAUUUUUCGUUGAAAACCCAAUCAAGGCCGGUUUCUUUUUGUGAAAUGCUUCUUUUACAACAUAUUCUGUCAUCAUCUUGGAUCAAUUUGCAUUUCUUCUUGCCCAGUUACUUGUAGCUAAUUCUUAUUGUUAUUUUUCUGAGUUGAAGAUGACGUGGUAAACUAAUUAUUGAUAGUUUCUUAUAUGCUUCACAACUCGAUCAUUUUGACUCCAUUUGUCUUUCUCAGGACACUUAAUAGUACUCUGGAAUAUUAUCAUGUGCAACCUAUUCUCUUCAUCCACUGGUCAAGGUAGAAAACUCUCUGUAUCUUUCUCUUCAUCUUCUGUUUCUUUUUCUUUUUUUCAUAGUUUCAGAUGUACUCAGAAAGUUGGUAAUCAUAAUUCUUGCGUUGUUGGGGUAACAUGUUUUUGUUUUGUCAGAUUGUGUAUUUAUUUUGAGCUACGAAUGUUGCAGGGAGGGAAUAAUAUGCAGUGGAGCAGCUGAUGGUUACAUAUGCUUUAUAAACGGCACAAAUGACUCGGUAUAUGUGUUAGUUGGCUUAAUCACAUUUUUUUAUGUUUGCCUCUAAUAUACACCAUCUAGCUUUACGUUGAAAGAAGUCAGUUCUUCUGUAAAACAUUACUCGGUUGCACACACAAACACGCACAUGUAUAUUGUACAUAUAAAUAUGAAUAUAGUAUAAGGUGAGCUAGUCAUUCAUUUGUGCAGAAAUGUGUGAAGAAAGAAUAUCAAGUGAGAAAAAUAGUAUCAAUCAUGGUUGGCUAACUUGAAGCUUAACUUUUGGGACAGGCUUAAGCUAAGAAGCCUCAACACUCAUUUAUCUUUAUGAUAUCCUUAACUUUGUUUCUAUUCUUGUAUGUCAUGGCAGGCUAAUGGACCAAAAUUCAAAUUGCUCCAUAGGAAAAAAAAAGGCUCACGAGAAGGGUGUACAUUCCGUGCAGUGGAGUUCUAAGGUAAUUUUGUUGAUUAACAAACAAAACAUAUAUUCAACAAAUCUUACUAUUAUGUAUGUAUGUUUGUGGGAACUAGGGAUGAGAGUACAAAUGAGAUAUUUUAUUCAAACAAAGUGAAAUUCAGCAGUCACACUCAAUUAAACAUCACAUUUAUGGUUUCUACAUAUUUGUCAUAAACAACCUCACAUUUCUUUUUCACAUUUCUUUUUCUUGGCUCUAACGGUGCAGGAAAACAGGGUGCUCGCCUCUGCAAGUGAUGAUGGAACAAUCAAGAUAUGGGAGCUUCUUAAUUUCUAGAUGCUUCAUUCUUGAAAUUACUAGAAUUUUAAUUUUCAAAUAUCAUCGAGUUUAUUCAGGUAAAUAGGAUAUUCGGGUACUUGAAUUACCCGAUUUGGCUCAAUAGCACCUUUCAUUCAAAUCCAUGAUGUUAUGAACCAAAUCUGUGAAAUUAGCUUCUAUGUUCUGUAAGGGCAGUUUAGUGGAAAGUAAGGGCAAACUCAAGUGAACUAAACCAUGUACACAUAGGAUUAUUACUUUGCCUCAAUUUUCGACACAAGUUUUGUUUUCUGAUUCUCAAAAAGGAUGCCUCAAACAAAUAGAAGAACAUUAAUUUUGAAAGUAUAAUUGUUCACUAUAAUUCUAUGAACUAAUCCAUGUUAAGGCACGACAUUAAAAGUAUUAAUAAUUAAUUAAUACAUCAUUGCCAUUAAUAGAGUGCAGGUUCGGAUAUACCCGAUUUUCAGCGCACACCCGUAGCACAGAUUUCGACCUGAUACCAUAAUUAUUAUCGGGGGACGGGUAUCCAAUACCCGAUCUGAUUUGGGUUGGUACUAUCCGUCACCCGAUUUUGAUUUUCCCACCCGUAUUGGAGCACAUAAUUAAUUGUACACUUAAGGCCGACAUUAUUAAAACUAAUCCAACAAAAAUCUAUAACAUAAAUAUUUAAUGAAAAAAAAAACAGUAUCCGUUUACCGGCAGGGUUUUGAUGAAGCUUUUGCUGCCAAUUAAAGACCGCCAUGAUUUCGAAACGCACCUCAAUCUCAAGAGUGAUUUCACCGGCAAUCUUGAUUGUCGAAUAUUUUUUGCGAUCUCCAUAGCAAACUAUGUUUGGAGGGUUAUUGGUUUUUGUAUUUGAAGAGGCGAGGGUUUUGGUUUUUGUAUUUACAACAAACGCUUUUAUAGCCUUGGUAUAUGUUUUCAAUCGUG
rnacentral:lncRNA from 1 species